UACGAAGGGGGGCUAGCGUUGUUCGGAAUUACUGGGCGUAAAGCGCACGUAGGCGGAUCGAUCAGUCAGGGGUGAAAUCCCAGGGCUCAACCCUGGAACUGCCUUUGAUACUGUCGAUCUGGAGUAUGGAAGAGGUGAGUGGAAUUCCGAGUGUAGAGGUGAAAUUCGUAGAUAUUCGGAGGAACACCAGUGGCGAAGGCGGCUCACUGGUCCAUUACUGACGCUCAGGUGCGAAAGCGUGGGGAGCAAACAGG
rnacentral:rRNA from 1 species